ensembl:lncRNA
CCUCUCCAGGGGCCCUUCAGCGUGUGCCUGAGAGCAGCCCCUGGUAAAGGCGGGUCUCAGGGCACAGGGGCAGCUGAUCCUGGACACCUGCUCUGGAGGGAGGGGCGUCGCUGGUUCAGAAGUGUCCUGCUGAGCAAAGCGAGGACACAGGGCUGGCCUCAGGAGCAGGGCAUUUGUCUGAAGAUGGCAGCUCUCCUGGCAGCUGGUGGGGGAUCCAGUGGGGAUGGGGCGCCCCUCCCCGCAGAGCAGGAGGCCGGGCUGAGGCAGGUGAACCAGCACAGGCAGUGGGAAGGGCCGCAUGCUGUCCCUCGUGGGCCAGGCAGAUGUGGUGACAGCUGCGAGGAGGAAGGAGAGUUCGAGACGAUGGGAACGGGAGCCCGCUGGGCCGUCAGGUGCAGGGGUCCCACCGCAGGUUCUGGGUGGGGGCAGUGACGCAACAGGGGGUGGUCUCACGGGCACAGGCGGGCGGAUGGCACUCUGCCUCUAGAAAGCCUGUGGGCACCCAGCGUCCUCUGUGCGAUGCUCAGACGGGCUGGAUGACGCUCUCGGGACUCGGGGAUGCAGGGCAGAGCAAGCGUAACUGUGACGUGGGGUGAACCCGUCUCUCACUCCAGCAUCCGGAGCGUCUGGAAAAUGUGCUUUAUAAAGGGCCCUGCGGCUGCAAAGGCGGAUUUCUCUGGCUCCGUCUGAAGAUUCUUCAGCACGAGAUGCCUAGCCAUCUGCAUGAAGCAUUUUCUCCCGGAAAUGAAUCCCCAGGCCUCCCGUUCUUUAUUGUAGGUGAGGGCCAUAUUACUGCUGCUCGAACAUUUCCUUAGCUGUUAGUAUCCAGAAAGAGAAGAUUACUUGCUUCUGGAAUCCACUGUUGUUAAGAUGACAAUAAUCCCCAAAGCAAUCUACAAGUUCAAUACAAUCCAUAUCAAACUUCCAACUGCCUUUUUGCAGCAGCAGAGAUGAUGAUUCUAAAAUUCACAUGGAAGUGCACACGGUGGUGGUGAGUCUGGACGGGCACUUCCUGGGGAAUUGGGAUUUGGUAGUUGGAGGCAGUGGGAGCACCAGGGGUAGAGAAAUCUUGUGGUCAGGGUGGGCCUGCGCAUGAGUGCAGGCUGUGGGCAGGGACACACAGGGUGGUGGGCAGCACCAUCAGGAGAAGCAGAAACGCAAGUGGAUGGGUCUCGUGACUUGGGGUUGGGGAGCAGGAUUCACUGCGAGAGCAGGUGGGGCCACCAUGAGAGGAGGUGGGGCCAAACAAGAGGGGGUGGGUUCAUGUGAGACGGGGCCAGUCACCAUGAUGGGGCACGGUCAGAUGGGGGUGAGUGGGGCCUCAAGCGGUCAAUUCCUCCCAGUUUGACUCCCCCAGGGAGGAUUCCUACUUAUGUCUGAGAACUUUCUUUCCUGCUGGCAGGUCCUUUUAUGGUGUAUCCAGCCAUACCACAGUGACCCCUCCCCAUGUCCCCAGCCACAUCAGCUACCAAUCCCUGUGUCCCAAGGCUACAUAGCAGUGGCCCCUCCCAGUGUCCCCAAGCCACAUCACAGUGACCCCUGCACCACCAGGAUGCAUAAUGGUCAGUCUAAGCAGCAGGCGGAGUGGCCACCUGUUUAUAAAAUGACAGGUCCCGCAUCUUCAGGAUGGUCUGGAGGUUUAUUUUGGGCAGAGGGAGGAGCAGACAGAGGCCACAAUUAAGGAGUUUAUGGCACAUCCAGGGAUGCAGCUCUCCCCGGGCAGUCCUGCCUCAACCUCUAACGCUGCGGGAAUGAACUCCUAGUGGCCCUCGCCUCGCCUGUUCCUGCCUCCUCUCUGCAUCUCCCUGUUCUGCUCCAUGCUCACCUUCCCUCUGUCCCCAUCUCUCUGUUCUCUGAGAGCUGCAGCUGGAAAAGCCAAAUGCAGGAACAGUCAUGGGUCCCAGGCCAGCCUGUGAUAGCACAUUUUCCACUGAGAACUUGGUGACUAGGUGUUACCUGGCUUGGGGACGAUCUGAAAACACCUUCUGUUCAAUUUUGAGGCAGGCUGUUCUAAUUCCAGAUCCCCAUGUAACUUCAGUUGUUUUUCCUUGUUUUUGGCCUGAAACAUCAAAGCAAUUUCCUCUGCGUGUCUGCCUCACCUGUCUGGCGGGUUUCCAGGCUGAAUACAAGCCAUGAGCAUGGUAAUCAAGAGUCUGCAGGCUCGGCCGUCUCUCAAAUGGGACUCAUGGGGUUUAGGAGAUGAGAGAGGGUUUGGGAAACCACAGAGGAUCACAACUUAGACUGAAUUCCCUUCUGUCACCAGACCCACCGCUGGGUCCCCGAAUCCCACACUGACAGUGAAGACAGAGAAACUCCAGGUCCCUGGAGUUGUGUGAACACCACAGUCCCGAGGCCUUCUGAGGGCGUCUCCGACCCUGGUCCCCAGUGGCCAUGGCUGUGCCGCUGUUCUGCAGAAGACCCCUCCCGCGUGUCUCCUCCGCACUCAGUGCAUGUGGAGGGAGGCAGGUGGGGAGUUUGGGGCUUGAUCUAGGACUGGGGCCUGGCUGUCACCUGGAGGUAAAGAGGAGCCUGUCACGCACACGGUGUCUGCAUCGCGUGGUCAGGACAUGUCCACCAAUGGGACAGCCCUGACUCAAGCCCCAUCAAGCCCAAAGGGGCCUCGAUUGGCUCGUGGGCCUGGAAGGGCAAGGGGAGGUGGAGAGGCAGGCAUCAUCUGGACAGGGGAGGAGGGUGUGGGUGGCCAUGUAUCAGGGCCAUUGGGAUGUCCUCAGAUGACUUGAUUGACACAUUGGAAGAAGGGUGCCUGAGGUUCAAGCAGCAGCCUUGGGUGAAUGGGACGUUGUGGGGGUGUGAGUGAAGGCGUAUGCACACCCUCAGUGUCCUGGGCACGGCCCACCUCUCCACCACAUGCAGACGUUACACACGUGACUGUAUUCAUUCUUGGGGACCUUCUUGGCUUCCUUUUUAAGAGAUGCGAUGGCCCACUUAGUGGGUCAGGUGUGGGGCUUUCUUAUUCCACUCCUGCUGUCCAGAUGCCUGGAGCCCACUCCUCGUCUGGGUGGAUGAGUGUUCUGAGCCCUGGAAGGGGGACUGUCCACCCAGGGUGUGCUGGAUUUGGGAGCUGAGACAAGCGUCCAGGGUGUGCCCAAUUCAGGUGCACAUCUGAGGUGGGGGACAGAGAAGACUUGUGCUGCAGGCUGCUCUCCACUGGCGCUCCAUGAAGGAAGCAGGCAGAAAGAUGGCAGGGAGCGAGGCCACUGCAUCUGCACUCCUCGCAGACUAGGGGGGCAGAAUGCCUCCCCAGCCUCCGUCUUUACCAUCUCUGCUGCCCUCCCAGCCUGUGGGGUCUUUGGCAGAGAUGGGAAGGGCAGGACAACUGUGUCUGAAGGGCAACUCUGUUCCUGUCACUGCCGCCUGCCCUGCCCGCCCCUUUUUUGAGGUUAACAGUUGCCAUUUUCAGUGGUCUCCUUGUCUGUGCAUGGAGGUGGGAAUGGGGGAGAUCCCCAGAGUGCAACUGGAAGAAUUUAUGUGCAAAGACGGGCAGAAUUACCACCCCAAUACUCAGAAUACCACAGUGCCCUGAGCAGUGAUGAAGCUCUGCUCAGGUCUUUCCUUGGAAAAGGGUAAGCCAGUGAACCUGGGCCGGGGGCCCUUGUGGGCUGUGUGGAGAGGCAGCACCAGGCUCUGGGUCAUGUCAGGGUCAGACAGAACAGGGUUCACCUCCCACUCAUGCUGGACUUAUUUGUUUUCUCUUGAACAAAUCUAAGACCUGGCACUGGACUCCGUCCCUUCCUGACAGCACACUUGGCUGGAGCCGAGCAGCGCGUGUCCCCAACGCGGCCCCUGCAGGAUCCUGAGCCCUCGGGCCUGACGUCAGCUGUCUGCAGUAGGGCGCUGGGCUGGGCUCUGGCAGCCUGACGCCUCCAUCCAGCUUCCCGUCAGCUUUCCCGUCAUUAACUCCGUGAGGCCUCCUGAGCCACGUCCUUCCUUCCGGCUGGGUUAGCGCCAGCUUUGGGCCUGAGUACAGACAGUCUGCGGGCAGCUGGGCUCUCAGCCUUGAGCUACUAAUCAGGAGGGGCUGGAGGCUGCCCCAGGGCGCGGUGAGGUCACACUGCAUGGACAGCCCCUCAGAGGGAGGCUGCUCCUGGAGACUGGCACCCUGGUCUUACGCCCCUCACACG